CGAAAUGAAGCAAAUCAAAGUUCAAGGUAAGUGUGUGUGUGAGUGUGUGCAUCUGGUGUCUAUGGGGAAGAUAUUGAGGCAAAGAUGAAGUACAUGAGCAUGUGCUUUCCCAGUGGAGCCCGGGGAUCAGAAAAGUCCUCCCAGUCCCUUCUUUCUCAAAGCAAAUACAUAUUCUUGCUCUGCCAGACCCAGGAGGUGUGCAAAGGAAGACAGAUUCAGGCAUGAAAGAAAGGACUAAGUUAAACAUGGCAAUACCAGAGAAUUCUUAUUCCGUCUUUCUGCUGGGAGAAGCUCGUGGAUAAGAAAUGGUCACUUCAGGACACGGCAGUAAAGAGAGCAUGUCUGCCCAGAAAUCCAGGCUUAUCUGGUCCUUUACAGGGCUCGUAUCUAUCCAUCCAUCCAACCAUCCAUCCAUCUAUCCACCCACCUUUCCCAUUGUUGACCACCAAGAGCCAGGAGGCACUGAGAAUAUGGAGAUCAGAUGUGUACAGCCUGGUCCUGCACUCUGAUGGGAAAAGCAUGAGAGGGGUUUGUACCCUCAAAACACAAAGACUUCUGCUGGACAUCACUUUCCUUAAAGACACACGCAUGUGAGUGAACAGCGGACCUGCCAUUUCACCAACAGUACCCCAGGGCACCUGCCUAUGAAGCUGUUUGCAGAGCUCGCUGCUGCAUACCUGAGUUCACGAGGUACCCCAAGCCCUUUGUCUGUUCUCCACCUGCUCUGCCUCCCACACCCAGGUCCUCUUCCCUCCUUAGCACCUAGUGUCCCUCGGGCCAUCUCAGAAAAGGAUCUGAGACUCAUUCACAUCAAGUUAUAGUCUUAGAGCUGGAGGAGGCCCUGUACUUAUCUAAACCACAUCCUCAUUUUGCACAUGAGGAAAUUAAAGCUCAGAGAGGUGAAAUGACUUGCCCAAGGUAACACAGGGGGAAAAGCCAGGGCUGGACUCCUGGUCCCUGGGUUUUAGAACCAAAGCUUUCUCACCCUGUCCUUUCUGUCUCCCCUCCUAGGGUUCAAGAGAUAUAUGUGCAGAUAUUAAUGACCUUUUAAUGAUGGACUUUGAGACACUAGCCCCUAAUAGAAGAUCACUCUCUUGUACAGAGGACCCUCUACUCUGCCUUCCAUGCAGAUCUAAGUUUAGGAAAUUCCCUGAAUAACCCCAUGGUACAACCAACUCAGCUUCUGUUUAUUUUCAUACAGAUGGUAUAAAUGAGAUACUAACAAAUGAUCCCAAAAUAUAAUGGAUUCUUUGCUACUGUGGAACCCCCUCAGAGGGGUUAGUACCCCCUGGGAGCAGCAGCCCCAUAAAUU
rnacentral:lncRNA from 1 species